CCAUUUCAGCACUAUCCGUUAGUUUCAACUGAGUUCAGUUCCCCUAUCGUAUUCUGAGUAAUGAUGUGUCCUUUUUACCUCUUACCAAGCUCAAAGUCACAAGUUUCGUCCAUCCCCACUGACAGAAAAGCCUGUUUGUGUGCAUGUAAAGGAGCAGCGCUUCAGGCGGAGGCAUGCAUGCUUAUUGGCAGUGAGCCGUGAAGAUCUACCCCAAUAACGCCCACUCUCCAGCAUGCUCCAAGACGAGCAGACGCUUCGUGUGUAUUUGUCUUCUAACUCACCCAUCUAUCAGGAUGAUAUUGCAAGAGGGUUCCUACUCGAGGAUCUACUCCUCUGACGGAUUGGAUUGUCCUGUAUUUCAGCAGCAUAUGGAUAUGUAUUCUUUAUUGCCAGGUGAAACUGAAAAGCCAAGGAAACUAGAUAUCUGAUUCGACGCACCUGGGAAAGGGUCGAACACGAGAAUGGGAACUAUUUUUGCGAGAAAGCAAAAGUAACGGUAAAUUGUAACGCGUAAAGAAAAUGAAAGCAUCUUGUUUUUUGGUGCACAUUGUUAAGAACAUUAAGGUACUGUGCAACCGUACCGAACCUGUCUGAUCUUUAAUGCCGCUUUAAUUAGAGCUAUCCCACCCUGUCCUCACCAAACGACCACCGGCUGGCACUUUACACCGGAGGACAAGGAGCAUCGCAGAGGAAAGGUGGAUGGAGCUCCAAAAUCGGCAACGCUGUCAGUCGUGGCUCUGAGCGGCAGAUACUCUCAUGUUCCCGGGCCAAUGCCUCGAGUCUCUGCUCUCUGCCGGCCUGUCCACAUGUAGCAGCCCGAGUCUACAGCUAUACUCCGAAGUAAAGCUGCCAGUGGAGCCUUCAUGAGCAUCUCCAGCCUUUCUACGCUUCUCAGAUAGAGUUCCCCCGAGAGAUGGAGUGGCUGAUCUUCUCCCUACUAGUCCUGGCUGUGUCUGCUUCGGGGCAGCUGUGCCCCAAGCGUUGCAUGUGCCAGAACCUGUCGCCAUCUCUAGCCAUCCUCUGUGCCAAGACUGGUCUGCUUUUUGUGCCAACAGUCAUCGACCGGCGUACAGUGGAGCUGCGUCUCACAGAGAACUUUAUUACCGCAGUAAGGAGGAGGGAUUUUGCAAACAUGACCAGUCUCUUGCACCUGACGUUGUCCCGCAAUACCAUCAGCCAGAUUUUGCCUUAUGCUUUUGCCGAUCUUAAGCGGCUGCGUGCACUGCACCUGGACAGUAACCGCAUAAGCGUCAUCAUGGACGACCACUUCCGAGGACUCACGAACCUACGGCACCUUAUCCUUGCCAACAAUCAACUGCACAACAUCUCGCCACAUGCAUUUGAUGACUUUUUGGGGACUCUUGAGGACCUAGAUCUUUCGUACAAUAACCUGGUGGAUAUCCCAUGGGACACUAUAGGACGCCUCACCAAUGUAAACACUCUCAACAUGGACCAUAACCUCAUAGAGCAUGUCCCCCUAGGAGUCUUUUCGAACCUACACAAACUAGCACGUCUGGAUAUGACAUCCAACAAGCUAAAGAAAAUACCCCCUGACCCAUUGUUCCUUAGGAUACCAGUUUAUGCCAAGUCAAAAGGUUCACCCCUUUCCUCCCUCGUCCUAAGUUUUGGAGGGAACCCACUACAUUGUAACUGUGAACUACUCUGGCUAAGAAGGGUAACGCGAGAGGAUGACCUGGAAACUUGCGCGUCACCUCCUGACCUUAUGGCAAAGUACUUCUGGACAAUUCCAGAAGAGGAGUUCAUCUGUGAUCCCCCUGUGAUUACAAGGAAAUCUCCCAAAACCUUUGUCAUGGAAGGUCAACCCACCAGCCUGAAAUGCAAGGCCAAUGGGGACCCAGACCCAGACGUUCACUGGAUCUCCCCAGAGGGCCGUCUAAUCGCCAACACCUCCCGUACUUUAAGCUUUAGCAACGGGAGCUUGGAGAUCAACAUCACUUCCUUGAAGGAUACAGGAGUUUUUACCUGCAUUGCGUCAAAUGCUGCGGGGGAAUCUACAGGCACGGUGGAUUUGGUGGUCAGCCCGCUGCCACACUUAGCUAACAGCACUAACCGGAUCCGAGAACCUGAUCCAGGUCCAUCCGAUAUUCUAACCUCUGCUAAGUCGACUUCAUCAGUCAGCAAUGAGACCAGGUCUCAGGAGAGGAAGGUGGUACUUGCUGAGCUUACGGCAAAUUCUGCACUCAUCAGGUGGCCUUCGCAACAACAUUUCCCUGGAAUCAGGAUGUAUCAGAUUCAGUACAAUAGCUCGGCAGAUGACACCUUGGUCUACAGAAUGAUUCCCUCCACGAGUUACGACUUCCUGGUGCGAGACCUCGUAUCCGGACGAGAGUAUGACUUGUGCGUUCUGGCCGUGUACGACGACGGCAUGACCUCGCUGACCGCCACGCGCCAGGUGGGCUGUGUCUCAUUUGUCACGGAGACCGAGUACAGCCAGUGCCAGUCGCUCCGGAGCCAUUUCCUGGGCGGCACCAUGAUCAUCAUCAUCGGAGGAAUCAUCGUGGCCUCCGUCCUCGUUUUCAUCAUCAUCCUCAUGAUCCGAUAUAAAGUCUAUAGCCAUCAGGGGGCAGAUUCUGGAAAGGGAACCGCCAUGACGAACGUACGCUCGCAAACGAACGGGGGUCAAGCGGCGGGGCAGGUCCCGCGCUCCAGCUCCAAAAUCGUAGAGGGCCAGGAGAACUCGGGAGCGGGUUUAGGGGGGGCCGCUGGGGCCGCCGCUAGUUUAAAAGACUCCACUGCCAUGGUGCUGGUCACAGACUCUGAGACAGCUGUGCAGAUUUCAGAGAUGACCUGUGAGGACAUAGUCUCCCCCACACAAAGGCACCAUCCCAGAACUUGUAUAGAGCUCAAGAGACGUCCUUCGCUUUCCUCAAAAGAGGGUACAAGCACAACGGACACACAAGUAGACACCGCAAACCCACAGGUCAGUGACGAGAAGAGGGUUCAACGAGAUUGGAGCGACUUUAAAAUUUGAUGACUCCUUCCGCUGUCCCGCAAGAGACAGCCAUCAUCCCUGAAGAAGCACGCCAGGUCAUCUGAUUAUGGGGAGAGGAAUAUGGAAUAAUUUGUCUGAACCCCUACUGGACUUUCUCCCUUGAGUGUUCACUUCUCACACUGUAUUCCAAGGACUAUCCAACCGUUUCCUACCGGGACACAUUUGAGGACUCAACUCAAUCCACUACUGCAACGAAUGGAAACGGAGCACAAUAAUUGUUCUCCAUUGCUGGCUUUUGGAACAUAUUGCCUUUUACAUCCCGCGGCCGGGACUGUCUAUGUGUUUGCUGCCGACUUCAGUAUGCAUUGUUUACUGGACGGUUUGGGUUCGAGAAUAACACCUCACUGGAAGGGAUAUUCAUCAUCCUCCUCCUCCCAUUCAAUCAUGCAAACUACAGCAGUGAGAGGAAACUCAGAUGGGACAAAGUAAACAGCAUGUCUGUGCUUCCUGCACUUUCAUCAAUUUGCCCUUCUCCUCCUCCUCCUCCUCCAUCUCAACUGGAUUUACAGUGUCAUCCAUGGCCCUCCUGCCCAGUGAGAACUGAAACUCAUAGGACUCAAAGCAACAAACAGAUGGCGGCAGCAGUCUCAAAUGGGAGCACAAUAUACAUGUUAAUUUGAGUUGUUUGGUCACUUUUUAUUUUGCCAUUUUCUUUUGUAACUGUACAUAAAUCAAUUUAAGAUCUUAUAGUUUUGUACAUGUAAUUUUUAUGGUGUGUGAUUUUUUUUUUAUAUAUAAUAAAAGACUAGAUCAAU